GGCGACGAUGGGUAGCCGGCCUGAGAGGGUGGCCGGCCACACUGGGACUGAGACACGGCCCAGACUCCUACGGGAGGCAGCAGUGGGGAAUUUUGCGCAAUGCUCGUAAGAGUGACGCAGCGACGCCGCGUGAAUGACGAAGGCCUUCGGGUCGUAAAGUUCUUUCGACAGGGAAGAAAAUGCCUAUAAGUAACUGUGUAUGUAUUGACGGUACCUGUAUAAGCAGCCCCGGCUAACUCCGUGCCAGCAGCCGCGGUAAUACGGAGGGGGCGAGCGUUGUUCGGAGUGACUGGGCGUAAAGAGCACGUAGGCGGUGUUGUAAGUCAUUAGUCAAAGACUAGAGCUCAACUUUAGUAAGGCUAGUGAUACUAUAAUACUAGAGUAUCAGAGAGGAUUGCAGAAUUCCUGGUGUAGCGGUGAAAUGCGUAGAUAUCAGGAGGAAUACCGUUAGCGAAGGCGGCAAUCUGGCUGGAAACUGACGCUGAGGUGCGAAAGCGUGGGUAGCAAACAGGAUUAGAUACCCUGGUAGUCCACGCUGUAAACGAUGGAUGCUAGGUGUUGGGCUUUUAAGUUCA
rnacentral:rRNA from 1 species